AUUGAACGCUGGCGGCAGGCCUAACACAUGCAAGUCGAGCGGAUGAAGGGAGCUUGCUCCUGGAUUCAGCGGCGGACGGGUGAGUAAUGCCUAGGAAUCUGCCUUGUAGUGGGGGAUAACGUCCGGAAACGGGCGCUAAUACCGCAUACGUCCUGAGGGAGAAAGUGGGGGAUCUUCGGACCUCACGCUAUCAGAUGAGCCUAGGUCGGAUUAGCUAGUUGGUGAGGUAAAGGCCUACCAAGGCGACGAUCCGUAACUGGUCUGAGAGGAUGAUCAGUCACACUGGAACUGAGACACGGUCCAGACUCCUACGGGAGGCAGCAGUGGGGAAUCUUGGACAAUGGGCGAAAGCCUGAUCGAGCCAUGCCGCGUGUGUGAAGAAGGUCUUCGGAUUGUAAAGCACUUUAAGUUGGGAGGAAGGGAAGUAAGUUAAUACCUUGAUGUUUUGACGUUACCAACAGAAUAAGCACCGGCUAACUUCGUG
rnacentral:rRNA from 1 species